UACGAAGGGGGCGAGCGUUGUUCGGAUUUACUGGGCGUAAAGGGCGCGUAGGCGGCGCGACAAGUCAGGCGUGAAAGCCCCGGGCUCAACCUGGGAGGUGCGCUUGGGACUGUCGCGCUGGAGUUCGGGAGAGGAGCGUGGAAUUCCCAGUGUAGAGGUGAAAUUCGUAGAUAUUGGGAAGAACACCGGUGGCGAAGGCGGCGCUCUGGACCGAGACUGACGCUGAGGCGCGAAAGCGUGGGGAGCAAACAGG
rnacentral:rRNA from 1 species